GCCAGUACUGUAAAUAACCCUGUUAUUUGAAUAGUUUUUGAUACCUUUACAUGCACUAUAUUAAGCAUAAGUUUAAGUUUCUAAUUAUUAGUUGUGUUUAUUCUGAUUUAAAGGUGUUUUAUUUACAUGCAAAGUUAUUAAGCCUAUAGAGACUUUUAUUUUGAAAUGACGGACUGCCGCGAAGAUCGCGCAUGCACAGAAAUCGAGCACAUGGAGAGAUCGCUCGUGCACGGAGAGAAGGAGCAACACGGUCACGGAGUCAAAACGAUUAAAUAUAAAGUUAAAGCAGCUAAAAAGUAACUUUAAGUAAUUAUAGUUGCCUGAUUAGUGUAGCACACGGUUUAUUUUGGUUUAUUUUUGGAUAUUUUUGGUUAGUUGUGUGUUUUUGGCCUUCUUUUAUUUUAGUACCUGGUUGAAAGAGGCACAAAGGUCAGUCACGUGUAUUUGUUCACUUUAAUAUAGUUAAUACAAUCUUGAUGCUUGCUUAUAAAUAUUUUCUUGUUAUACAAGUAAUUUUAUAUUGUCUAUAUUAGAUGUUAUCUUUAAAUGUUAUAGUUUUAUUGUUAAAUAUCAUAUUAUUUACUUUCAUUUUGUAUAUAUCUUAAUUAUUUGUGAAUGUUAUUGUGUGUUUUAGCUCUUACGGUGUUGUGGACUCAAAAAAGGCAAUGUGAAGUGAAAUAAGGUGCAUUUUAAGGAAAAUAAAAACUGGAAAAAAGAGUCAAACGCAAACAUCAGUGCAAGAGUCAACUUUAUUUCAACCGGGCUGCUACAGUAAGAGCUUUAUCUCAUUUAUUCUCUAUGCUGAUGUAAAUGAUGACUAGCCAAGGAUCAGAACCAUGCAUUCCAGUGAAGGAAAUGGAAACAGUUGAAGUGCAACCUUCUCAAAGUAAAGCUUUAGAUGAUGAGCUAGAACAUCAUUCAGAAGGAGAAGGAAAUGAAUUACGCCGUUCUGUUCGCAAACGUAUUCCAACAGAAAAAAUGCUUGCAUAUCAGAUGGAGAUGUCUCAAAAGGCAGAAGGCAGGCUUAUGCAAACAUAUGAGCAGUGGAAGGCUGAAGCUCGAAAGGCAAGAGAGCAGCUGAAAACAGACAUCUCUGAGAGUGAAUUAGCAAUGCUUGUAGAUACGAUGGAAGGUGAAAGAGACAAAGUAAUGAAUGCAUACAUAAAGGUCCGCAGUGAUGUCACUCCUUCCACAGAUAUAAGACGACGGAUUGAUGCUUGUGAUGCGGUGACAAAGGACAUUGUAAAGAUGGCUUAUGAGAGGAUCUCAGGCGUUGAUGGAGACUUUGACAGCGAAGCAGUAAAGGUGCGUCUUCGUGAACUGCUAGUUCGAGAUUAUGCUCGUUCUGUUUAUGGCUCCACAGUGUCACGUAUCAGUUCCAAACCAAGUCAGUCCUCAUUAAACUCUGCGCUAAGAGCUAAACAAAUUGAAGCGGCAGCAGAGCUUGCGGCUAAGGAAGCAGAAUACGCUGCUAUGAUAGAGGAAAGGGAACAAAGGAAAAGAAUUCAACUUCUAGAAGAGAAGCAAAGGCAAGAACUUAAUGCUGAAAAAAGUGAGUUGCAAACUUUACAAGCAGUAAGGGAGGUAAAGGCAGCUAGAGCAAGACUAGAAGUUUAUGAUAGGGAAGAAACAAUUCAUUCUGGUAAUCAGAACAGUGAGCUACAACAACAUGUAAACCUCCCUAUGCCAGAGCCUUUACGCGCAACCUCAGCUAAACCAAUUCUGAAUGAGAAAGCAUCACCACCAACCAAUGCUGAUGUGUCUUACCUAGCACAGGCUGUCCAAGAUAGCAUGAUGUUGAACAGACUUCCUAUGCCAGAGCCUACCAUCUUCAGUGGUGACCCCAUUCAUUUUGUUGAGUGGAAAACUUCAUUCCAAUCACUCAUUGACAAAAGGCAAAUCUCUCCAGCAGAUAAAUUGUAUUACUUGAAAAGGUAUGUCACUGGUCCUGCUCGUAAGACUUUAGAAGGCAUCUUUUACAGAAACGAUGAGGAAGCCUACCAAGAUGCAUGGAAAAGACUGCAAGAUCGUUAUGGACAGCCAUUCAUCAUACAAAGAGCAUUCAGAGAAAAACUUGCGAGUUGGCCCAGGAUACAAACCAAGGACGCUGAAGGACUCAGAAAUUUCUCAGAUUUCCUAAAUGCAUGUACAGAUGCUAUGCCUCACGUAAAGGGACUGGAUAUAUUGAAUGAUUGUGAAGAGAACAGAAAACUCGUCUGCAAACUUCCAGAUUGGGCGGCUGCCCGUUGGAAUCGUCAAGCCACACAAGCGUUGAGUGAGACUCAGAAUUUCCCAACCUUUCAUGACUUUGCGAGAUUUGUUUCUGCAGAGGCUGAAGUAGCCUGCAACCCUAUUACUUCCUACUCUGCCCUCCAUGCUUCUGAAGCUAACAAAGAGAGACCUAACCCUAAGCUUGUUAGGAAUAAAGCUAAUGUCUUCCAUACAAAAAUGGUCACACAGCAUGAGAAUCCAAGGUUGUCUAAUAAAGUCAUUAAACCCUGUCUGUUCUGUCAAAGUGAAGAGCAUCGAAUUCAUGAUUGUUCUAAAUUCUCUGUUAGAUCUCUUGAAGAGCGAAGGCAGUUCAUUAAGGAAAAUAAGCUGUGCUAUGGAUGUCUGAAGCCCGGUCAUAGUGCCAGAGAGUGUCGCUACAGACAUACAUGUAAUACAUGCAGAAGAAGACACCCUACAUGCCUACACGAUGACACCUUUGUUAUGAGGUCGAAGCCUUCUACUAGUCAUGCCUCAGAAAAUGCACCUGAGAGAGUUGUAACAACGUCUUUGAGCGUAGAAUCUGGUUGCACAUCCACCAUCACCUCAAUGAUUGUACCUGUGUGGUUGUCUUCACAAAGGGACCCAGUCUCUGAGAAACUUGUCUAUGCUCUUCUAGACACACAAAGUGACUCAGUCUUCGUUGAAGAGGCAGUAAGUCAAGGUCUAAAGGUAAACUCAUGCCCAGUUACUCUUAGGCUCACUACUAUGAUUGGGAAAGAUUCAUUAACAUCAAGUGAAAGAGUGUCUGGUCUCAGAGUCAGAGGCUUUAAUUCUACAAUCGUUCUAGACCUUCCUCCUGCAUACACAAAGCAAUGUAUCCCUGUGGAUCGUGCACACAUCCCUACCAAUGAGACCGCCAGACACUGGAAACAUCUCACUGCUCUAACAGAUAAAAUUCCCCCACUUCAAGAUUGUGAGGUUGGACUCUUAAUAGGAUAUAACUGUUCCAGAGCUCUAGCACCCAGAGAAGUGAUCAUUGGAGCAGACAACGAACCAUAUGCUGUUCGCACCGAUCUUGGAUGGAGCAUUGUGGGCCCUUCAUUGAAGAAUCACGAGUCAGUAAGUGGUGUCAACAUAUGUCACAGAGUAUCUAUCAAGGAAAUGCCUUCUGUUACACCAGCAGAUCUUAUUAAAUUACUAGAGUCAGAUUUUAAAGACACUAAUGAAAACACAAAGGCAGUGUCUCAAGAGGACAUCAUGUUCUUGAACAAACUAGAAGAAAAUGUCAAAAUGAACAAAGACAAUCACUUGGAAAUGCCCCUUCCUUUCAGACAGAGACCCUUCCUUCCAGACAACAAACCCCUUGCAGUGGUAAGACUUCAACAUCUCAAGAGGAGAUUCGAAAAGGACAAAGAGUAUAAAGAACAUUAUGUGAAGUUCAUGGAGGAGAUAAUAGAAAAUGGAGAUGCUGAAGGAGACCUUGAUGAAGGAAAGGAAGGAGAAAAAUGGUACAUUCCCCAUCACGGGGUGUAUCACUCGAAGAAGCCGGGGAAAAUUCGCAUAGUCUUCGACUGUUCUGCGAGAUACAAGGGAGCCAGCCUAAAUGAUCAUCUGCUCACAGGCCCUGACCUAAUGAAUAGCCUGGUUGGAAUUCUUUUACGGUUCAGACAGCAUCCAGUUGCCUUGAUGUGUGAUGUCGAAAGAAUGUUUCACCAGUUCCAUGUCGACAAAGCAGAUCGAGACUACUUAAGAUUCCUCUGGUGGAGAAAUGGAGAUGUCAACUCACCACCUCAAACCUUUCGAAUGAGAGUACAUCUUUUUGGUGCCUCGUCAUCCCCUGGAUGUGCCAACUUUGGACUGAAGCAUCUUGCAAAAAAGGGUGAGCAUUCACACUCCCUAGGCUCACAGUUCAUUAUGCGAGAUUUUUACAUGGAUGAUGGAGUUUCCAGUGUAGAAAAUGCAGAGAAAGGAAUUCAGUUGGCACAAGAAGCACGUCAUCUUUGUAGUCUGGGAGGUUUGAGGCUGCAUAAGUUUGUCUCUAACAGCAAGACAGUUUUAGAGAGCAUACCAUCCUCUGAACGUGCAACAGAUGUUAAUACUGUUGAUCUUUCCCUCUCCAAUGAGCCUUUGGAAAGAGCUUUAGGCAUUUACUGGCACCUGGAUGAUGACAACUUCAUAUUUCAUGCUAAUUUUAAGGACCAACCAGCAACCCGAAGAGGUAUACUGUCAACUGUGGCCUCCUUGUUCGAUCCCUUAGGGUUUCUUUCGCCAUUUAUACUGAAGGGAAAGGCUAUUCUACAAGAAACAUGCAGAAGUGGCAUGGGCUGGGACGAUCCCUUACCUGAUGCGUUGAAUCCAAGGUGGGAGCACUGGAAGACCGAUCUCGCUAACUUAGUAAAGGUCAAGGUUCCACGUUGUGUUGUACCUGCUGGAUUUGGAAAAAUCACAAAGAAGGAGAUUCAUAAUUUUUCGGACGCCAGUACAAAUGGGUAUGGCCAGUGCUCAUACCUUCGAAUCGAAAAUGAACAAGGUGACGUCCAUUGUACUCUGCUCAUGGCUAAAUCUAGAGUAUCCCCACUCAAAGUCACAACAAUUCCUCGGUUAGAGUUGACUGCAGCGGUUGUGUCAGUUGCAGUGAAUGAUGUGCUGAAAGCAGAAAUGAAUCUUACUGAUGCAGAGGUAUAUUUCUGGACUGACUCCCAAGUGGUACUGGGUUACAUCAGUAACGAAGCUCGUCGCUUUCACACAUUUGUUGCGAAUCGAGUUCAGAGAAUUCAUCACAGUUCCACUCCUCAACAGUGGCGGUAUAUUCCCUCGGAUGAAAAUCCGGCCGAUUAUGCAUCACGAGGCUUAAGCAUUGAUGAUCUUGUCACUUCCUGCUGGUUCACUGGACCCAACAUCUUAUGGCAAAGACAUAUACCUCCUCCUGUGGACGUUAACCCUCAACUUCAAAUGGAAGACCCUGAGGUUAAAAAGGCUACAUCACUGAUUACUCAUACAGUAGGGAACACCUGUUUAUCUGACCGACUCACAAGGUUAUCUUCAUGGUCCAAAGUCAUCCAAGCAGUGGCACGCUUACUUCGUAGAGUGAGAAAGGACAAGUCAAGUGAUCACAGUACAGUAGCGGAGCGUGAGGAUGCUAAGCGCACUAUUAUCAAGGACUUACAGAGUCAGACUUACCCAGAGGAGAUGGCAUUGUUGAAUAAGGGCAAGACGCUACCUCGCAGCAACAGGCUAUACUAUCUUGAUGCUUUUGUGGAUCAUGACGGAUUGCUUAAGGUGGGAGGAAGACUCGGCAAUGCUUCUGUUUCACACUCUCUCAAACAUCCGGUGAUCCUUCCAAAGGAACAUUACCUAACAAAACUCCUAAUUGCUGAUUGUCAUGAGAAAACUGGACAUCAAGGUAAAGGCUUAACUUUAAAUGAGAUCAGAUCAAGAGGAUUCUGGAUUCCAGGAGUAAACAGGACUGUAGCCUCUUUUGUGCAACACUGUAUAAGAUGUCGUAAACACCGCAGACCCACAGAACAGCAAAAAAUGGCAGAUCUGCCCUCAGAGCGCAUAGAUCCAUCCCCUCCUUUCACUUUCAGUGGAAUGGACUGUUUCGGCCCGUUCUUCACAAAACAAGGGCGUAGAUCAUGCAAGAGGUACGGCCUUCUUUUCACCUGUUUCUGUUGCCGAGCUAUCCACAUUGAGAUGCUGGAUGAUAUGUCCACAGACUCCUUUAUUAAUAGUCUGCGAUGUUUCAUUGCCAUCAGAGGAGCAGUUCGUCAGAUAAAGUGUGACCAAGGAAGUAACUUUAUUGGAGCCAAGAACGAGUUUGCAAAGGCUUUAAGGGAGAUUGACAACAACCGUCUUGUGACAUUCUUAGCAGAAAGGCAGUGUGACUUUAUCUUCAAUGCACCUCAUGCAAGUCACACAGGAGGAGUUUGGGAGAGACAGAUUAGGACAGUAAGGAGCGUUCUUCAUUGCACUCUGUCCUUAUCUUCUGGAAGACUGGAUGAUUCUUGUCUACGGACCUUCUUCUACGAAGCUAUGGCAAUUGUAAAUAGUCGACCGCUGACAGUAGACAAUCUAAAUGAUCCUAAAAGUCCUGAACCUUUAACCCCAAACCACCUGCUCACUUUAAAAACUGCCCAAGCUUUACCACCCCCUGGCAAAUUUGUCAGAGAAGACUUGUAUGCUCGCAAGAGAUGGCGCCAUGUCCAGUACUUAGCGGAACAGUUCUGGAGCCGUUGGAGAAAGGAGUACUUGUCUAACAUCGCGACCAGACAAUGCUGGCUAACCCCCAAGAGGAACAUACAAGUUGGAGAUAUAGUGUUGGAAAAAGCAGAAGACUUGCCUAGAAAUGAGUGGCGUAUGGCAGAAGUUAUUGAGACUGUGGUUGACAAGGAUAAUCUAGUAAGAAGAGUAAAAAUACGCUUUGGAGACAGAAAACUGGGAAAGGAUGGUAAACGUCUAAGCAAACCAUCAGUAGUAGAGCGCCCAGUGCAGAAGUUGGUCCUGCUGCUAGAGGCAGCUUAACAACUUCAUGUAUCCUUUAAGCUCAGCAGAUCAUAGUAGAUGAUUAGUUAUUUUUGUUUUACUCUCAUCUAAGCUAAGUAAUGGUUAAUUCAUUUUAAAAAUCAUUCGUGAUUUAAGUUUGAGAAUAUAGUCACUCGUGAUUUUGGUGGGAGUGUAAAUAACCCUGUUAUUUGAAUAGUUUUUGAUACCUUUACAUGCACUAUAUUAAGCAUAAGUUUAAGUUUCUAAUUAUUAGUUGUGUUUAUUCUGAUUUAAAAGUUUUAUUUACAUGCAAAGUUAUUAAGCCUAUAGAGACUUUUAUUUUGAAAUGGCGGAUAGACGGACUGCCGCGGAAGAUCGCGCAUGCACGGAAAUCGAGCACAUGGAGAGAUCGCUCGUGCACGGAGAGAAGGAGCAACACGGUCACGGAGUUAAACGAUUAAAUAUAAAGUUAAAGCAGCUAAAAAGUAACUUUAAGUAAUUAUAGUUGCCUGAUUAGUGUAGCACACGGUUUAUUUUGGUUUAUUUUUGGUUAGUUGUGUGUUUUUGGCCUUCUUUUAUUUUAGUACCUGGUUGAAAGAGGCACAAAGCUCUUACGGUGUUGUGGACUCAAAAAAGGCAAUGUGAAGUGAAAUAAGGUGCAUUUUAAGGAAAAUAAAAACUGGAAAAAAGAGUCAAACGCAAACAUCAGUGCAAGAGUCAACUUUAUUUCAACCGGGCUGCUACAA